rnacentral:rRNA from 1 species
UACGAAGGGGGCUAGCGUUGCUCGGAAUCACUGGGCGUAAAGCGCACGUAGGCGGGUCCUUAAGUCAGGGGUGAAAUCCCGGAGCUCAACUCCGGAACUGCCUUUGAUACUGGGGAUCUUGAGUCCGGAAGAGGUGAGUGGAAUUCCCAGUGUAGCGGUGAAAUGCGUAGAUAUUGGGAGGAACACCAGUGGCGAGGGCGGCUCACUGGACCGGUACUGACGCUGAGGCGCGAAAGCGUGGGGAGCAAACAGG